rnacentral:rRNA from 1 species
GGGUUGUGAGGUUAAGCGACUAAGCGUACACGGUGGAUGCCCUGGCAGUCAGAGGCGAUGAAGGGCGUGCUAAUCUGCGAUAAGCGCCGGUAAGGUGAUAUGAACCGUUAUAACCGGCGAUACCCGAAUGGGGAAACCCAGUGUGACUCGUCACACUAUCAUUAACUGAAUCCAUAGGUUAAUGAGGCGAACCGGGGGAACUGAAACAUCUAAGUACCCCGAGGAAAAGAAAUCAACCGAGAUUCCCCCAGUAGCGGCGAGCGAACGGGGAGGAGCCCAGAGCCUGAAUCAGCAUGUGUGUUAGUGGAAGCGUCUGGAAAGGCGCGCGAUACAGGGUGACAGCCCCGUACACAAAAGCGCAUGUGCUGUGAGCUCGAUGAGUAGGGCGGGACACGUGGUAUCCUGUCUGAAUAUGGGGGGACCAUCCUCCAAGGCUAAAUACUCCUGACUGACCGAUAGUGAACCAGUACCGUGAGGGAAAGGCGAAAAGAACCCCGGCGAGGGGAGUGAAAAAGAACCUGAAACCGUGUACGUACAAGCAGUGGGAGCACAGGUUUACCUGUGUGACUGCGUACCUUUUGUAUAAUGGGUCAGCGACUUAUAUUCUGUAGCAAGGUUAACCGUAUAGGGGAGCCGGAGGGAAACCGAGUCUUAAUUGGGCGUUAAGUUGCAGGGUAUAGACCCGAAACCCGGUGAUCUAGCCAUGGGCAGGUUGAAGGUUGGGUAACACUAACUGGAGGACCGAACCGACUAAUGUUGAAAAAUUAGCGGAUGACCUGUGGCUGGGGGUGAAAGGCCAAUCAAACCGGGAGAUAGCUGGUUCUCCCCGAAAGCUAUUUAGGUAGCGCCUCGUGAAUUCAUCUCCGGGGGUAGAGCACUGUUUCGGCUAGGGGGCCAUCCCGGCUUACCAACCCGAUGCAAACUGCGAAUACCGGAGAAUGUUAUCACGGGAGACACACGGCGGGUGCUAACGUCCGUCGUGAAGAGGGAAACAACCCAGACCGCCAGCUAAGGUCCCAAAGUCAUGGUUAAGUGGGAAACGAUGUGGGAAGGCCCAGACAGCCAGGAUGUUGGCUUAGAAGCAGCCAUCAUUUAAAGAAAGCGUAAUAGCUCACUGGUCGAGUCGGCCUGCGCGGAAGAUGUAACGGGGCUAAACCAUGCACCGAAGCUGCGGCAGCGAGUAUCAGAAGUGCGAAUGCUGACAUAAGUAACGAUAAAGCGGGUGAAAAGCCCGCUCGCCGGAAGACCAAGGGUUCCUGUCCAACGUUAAUCGGGGCAGGGUGAGUCGACCCCUAAGGCGAGGCCGAAAGGCGUAGUCGAUGGGAAACGGGUUAUAUUCCCGUACUUGGUGUUACUGCGAAGGGGGGACGGAGAAGGCUAUGUUGGCCGGGCGACGGUUGUCCCGGUUUAAGCGUGUAGGUGUGUGUUCCAGGUAAAUCCGGUUCACUUUAACACUGAGGCGUGACGACGAGGCACUACGGUGCUGAAGCAACAAAUGCCCUGCUUCCAGGAAAAGCCUCUAAGCAUCAGGUAACAUCAAAUCGUACCCCAAACCGACACAGGUGGUCAGGUAGAGAAUACCAAGGCGCUUGAGAGAACUCGGGUGAAGGAACUAGGCAAAAUGGUGCCGUAACUUCGGGAGAAGGCACGCUGACACGUAGGUGAAGUGAUUUACUCAUGGAGCUGAAGUCAGUCGAAGAUACCAGCUGGCUGCAACUGUUUAUUAAAAACACAGCACUGUGCAAACACGAAAGUGGACGUAUACGGUGUGACGCCUGCCCGGUGCCGGAAGGUUAAUUGAUGGGGUCAGCGCAAGCGAAGCUCCUGAUCGAAGCCCCGGUAAACGGCGGCCGUAACUAUAACGGUCCUAAGGUAGCGAAAUUCCUUGUCGGGUAAGUUCCGACCUGCACGAAUGGCGUAAUGAUGGCCAGGCUGUCUCCACCCGAGACUCAGUGAAAUUGAACUCGCUGUGAAGAUGCAGUGUACCCGCGGCAAGACGGAAAGACCCCGUGAACCUUUACUAUAGCUUGACACUGAACAUUGAGCCUUGAUGUGUAGGAUAGGUGGGAGGCUUUGAAGCGUGGACGCCAGUCUGCGUGGAGCCGACCUUGAAAUACCACCCUUUAAUGUUUGAUGUUCUAACGUGGACCCGUAAUCCGGGUUGCGGACAGUGUCUGGUGGGUAGUUUGACUGGGGCGGUCUCCUCCUAAAGAGUAACGGAGGAGCACGAAGGUUGGCUAAUCCUGGUCGGACAUCAGGAGGUUAGUGCAAUGGCAUAAGCCAGCUUGACUGCGAGCGUGACGGCGCGAGCAGGUGCGAAAGCAGGUCAUAGUGAUCCGGUGGUUCUGAAUGGAAGGGCCAUCGCUCAACGGAUAAAAGGUACUCCGGGGAUAACAGGCUGAUACCGCCCAAGAGUUCAUAUCGACGGCGGUGUUUGGCACCUCGAUGUCGGCUCAUCACAUCCUGGGGCUGAAGUAGGUCCCAAGGGUAUGGCUGUUCGCCAUUUAAAGUGGUACGCGAGCUGGGUUUAGAACGUCGUGAGACAGUUCGGUCCCUAUCUGCCGUGGGCGCUGGAGAACUGAGGGGGGCUGCUCCUAGUACGAGAGGACCGGAGUGGACGCAUCACUGGUGUUCGGGUUGUCAUGCCAAUGGCACUGCCCGGUAGCUAAAUGCGGAAGAGAUAAGUGCUGAAAGCAUCUAAGCACGAAACUUGCCCCGAGAUGAGUUCUCCCUGAGACUUAGAGUCUCCUGAAGGAACGUUGAAGACGACGACGUUGAUAGGCCGGGUGUGUAAGCGCAGCGAUGCGUUGAGCUAACCGGUACUAAUGAACCGUGAGGCUUAACCUUACAACGCCGAAG